rnacentral:rRNA from 1 species
GACGAACGCUGGCGGCGUGCUUAACACAUGCAAGUCGAGCGGUAAGGCCCUUUCGGGGUACACGAGCGGCGAACGGGUGAGUAACACGUGGGUGACCUGCCCUCAGCUCUGGGAUAAGCCUGGGAAACCGGGUCUAAUACUGGAUAUGACUCCAUGACGCAUGUUGUGGGGUGGAAAGCCUUGUGCGGCUGGAGAUGGGCCCGCGGCCUAUCAGCUUGUUGGUGGGGUGANGGCCUACCAAGGCGACGACGGGUAGCCGGCCUGAGAGGGCGACCGGCCACACUGGGACUGAGACACGGCCCAGACUCCUACGGGAGGCAGCGAGUGGGGAAUCUUGCGCAAUGGGCGAAAGCCUGACGCAGCGACGCCGCGUGAGGGAUGACGGCCUCGG